UGAGUGUGUGUGCAUGAGACAUUCCCUUUCUCUCAGUCCUUAACCUUUCAGUGCUGAGUGUUACAGCUCUGGUUACACAGCAGAGGCAGCAGAGCCUGUGUGCACUGGGGAGGUGCUGUCUCCCCCCUUCCCUAUAAUUAAUCAGCUAGAAAGCCCCCAUGGUUUCCUUUCCCUGCUUGGCAGAGUUAAAAGUGAUGCUGUGAAGCGGAGCCCCAGUUAGAAUCAAGUAGAAAUGCAGUUGGAGGAGGUGUAUAACAGAUUCUGUGGGGGAAACUGUGACAGCGGCAGCAAAAAGAGGCGCUGACCAGCGUACCGGUGAUUGAGCCUCUCUCCCUGCCAGUGCCACCACUUCCAGUCGCCCGGUGUCUUUUGUGAGCAUCUAAAAAAACUAUGACCACAAUUCACAAAGGAAUGAAGUUUGCAGUGUGUGGAACCACAUCUAAAUGGGACUUGAUAAGAAAGCCAGCUAAGGUCAGGCAAGCAGAAAAUCCCUGAAGGACUGCAUGACAGUGUGAAUGCUCACAUAAUGCAGGAAGAUGGCUGAGGAUGGUCCUGGAUACUGACGGAUGAAUAAAUUCACCAGGGGAGAAGUUGCAUCGAAUAAUCUGCCGUAAAAUUUUAGGCAUGCGCAUAAAAAUAGUCGCGCGUCAAAAUUAUUCAGACGCCCAUUGACUUUAAUGUAUUUGGACAAAAUAGGCACGCAUAUAAAAAUUGUCAUGGGCGUCAAAAUUGAAACGCGUCAAAGUUAUUUUGGUGGCCAUUGACUUCAAUGCGUUUCACAAACUUUUCGCAGUUUCUCAAAUUUGUCUGUAAAUUCGCAAAUUUUUCAGCAAAGUGAAACAGGACAAAUUCACCCACCACUAGUUCUGAAGAGAAAAGCACAACAUAAAUUCACAAACCCUAUCAUAUGUGCCUGAAUGUUAGCGAAUUAAUCAGAAAGUAAAGAAUCUUUAUACCAACUUUAAAAGCUAUUGCAGUGCUUUUUCUUUUUUUUUUGUAACUUAUAUUUCAUUGAAAAGAUUGACAUCCCCAUACAAUAAACAGCAAGUUGGGUACAAAGCUAGCACCCUCAAGUUUCAUACAAAUCCGAACCCCAGCCUACUGUCUAAAAUAGAUAACAGAAAGUCACAGUGCGAUCUAGUUACUAUAGAUGAGAUGAGAACGAUUCCCAUUUCCUUUUUUUUUCUUGCAGUGCUUUUCAAGCCAAAAAUGCUGCAAAAUGUUUAUUCUUUGGCAGAGCCUUUUAUACACAAAUCUUUGGCUGUGAUGUGGUUAAAAAAUAUGAAGCCCUUCAUUCUUAAAAAAACAACACAAC